CUAAAAACUAUUUAUAUGAAGAAAAUUAACUCUAUAAAUUAUAUAGUGAUAAAAUCAUUUGUUACAUAUACAACGGAGAAAUAUGGUUGAAAUUGUCAACUUUAUUUAUGUUAUGAUUAUAUUUCUUUCCUUAUAUCAUGUUACAAAGAAUGUCGUUGGUAAGUCAUUUUCAAAUUUCUUUCUUUACUUCUUCGUAUCAUUUCCGUUACAUUUUUUAUUCUUUUCUUUUUUCAUUACAACAGGUUCUGGAUGUGUUCAAGAUUAUGAUUGUCCACAAGAUAUGUGUCCGCCUGGUUUAAAAGCAAAAUGUUUUUAUGAAACUUGUCUAUGUGCUGGAAAGAUGUUGCAAUAGAUUUUGUGACCACAUGAUUUUGUAUUUAGCACUAGGAGAGACGCAAGAUUUACACAAAUGAUUUGCUAAAGUAUUUUAUCAUUUAUUAUGCAUGCUGGCGCACAGUAAAUUGAAUAUUUUUUUCUUUUUCUAAUUACACAAACCUUGUUGUAGUUUUGUCAUGGUAAUCUAAGAUCAUGGUAAAGAAAUUAAAUAAGGAAGCAAAUAAUAUUU
rnacentral:lncRNA from 1 species